ACACAAAUUAAUAAAGUACAAAGCACUUAUACAAAUUAAAAUUUUAGUAAUAUGAUAACUUUUCCAAUAUAAAAAAAAUUAAGCAUCCUUCAUCUGAACUGUAUAUAUACCACUAUGGACAUAGCCUUUGCUCAAAAUGUUUUUGCCAGGCCUGAGUCCAGUAGCAUUGCUCAUUUAUCUCAAUGGUUGUUCUAUUAAUUCUUUCCAUUAUGUCAUUUUGUUCAGACGUAUAGAGCAGGGGUGGUCAACUUUUGUGUACCUAAAAUCUACUUUUCAUCUUAAAAAUGUAUUGAGAUCGACUUGUUGUCAUAGGCAUAGUUUAAGUGGAGAGAGGGAGGUGUGUCCUGC
rnacentral:lncRNA from 1 species